UACGAAGGGGCUAGCGUUGCUCGGAAUUACUGGGCGUAAGCGCACGUAGGCGGAUUGUUAAGUCGGGUGAAAUCCUGGAGCUCAACUCCAGAACUGCCUCGAUACUGGCGAUCUCGAGUUCGGGAGAGGUGAGUGGAACUGCGAGUGUAGAGGUGAAUUCGUAGAUAUUCGCAAGAACACCAGUGGCGAAGGCGGCUCACUGGCCCGAUACUGACGCUGAGGUGCGAAAGCGUGGGGAGCAAACAGG
rnacentral:rRNA from 1 species